UCAAGUUUCUCUGGUUUCUUACGGUAAAGAAAAACCAGCUGUGUUAGGUCACACAGAAGCUGAUUACGCGAAAAACCGUCGUGCAGUCAUUGCAUACUAAUAGAUAAGCGAAAUUAUCUCUUAUGAACAGUAACUUCAGACAUCUACUUGUAG
rfam:Lucilia cuprina strain LS Scaffold844, whole genome shotgun sequence.